UUCCAAACCAAUUGCUCCUACUCAAAACGUCUAUUUCUUCGCAUUAAACUCUUCUUUUUCUAUCACAACUUUCUCCAAAUUCAUCUCCGUUCUUAAAAAAUUAAUCUAAUUCUUUCUUAAUCUUAUUUUAUAUUAGCUUAAUCAUGAGGAAAUCUUGGAUUGCAUAUAGCUUAGCUAUACUAUUUACUUAUUCUUCUUCUUCUUCUUUUUUUCCUCUCUCGAUUGCAGUUUAACCUUCGUUGUAAAGUCAACGUGGUCACAAGGGGUGGUAGACCAUGUUUUGUAUAAGUUUUGAAACGAAAUUAAUAUAUUCUUGCUUAAUCUUUUUAUAUUUAGCUUAAUAAGAGGAAAAAUCUGGAUCAAAUUAUACUGUCCCACUAGAGCUUUCUCAUUUAUGAUUUAUGAAUGAAUUCAUUUAAGAUUAUUGAAUUUUUAAGGCUUUUUGUCUUGGUGCUUGUUGCUUUCUGCUAUGUCGGAUGGUUUUUGUUGUUUAGUGCAAUAAACUUUAACUAAUAAAUUUGGGCUUAAGUGAAUGAAAAAUGAAAUAAUAUAUAUAGACAAUGAUGAAAAAUGGUGUUUGAGGAAAUGGUGAGUAGAAAAUUUUGGCAGUGCUUUAGUUUGAGAAACUCGUUUCUUUGUUCAACAAGAAAGGAUGUACUUGUUAACGUUACUACAAUUUUCAGACAUAAAGCCAAAGGUAAGAUGAACUGAUUCUCACAAGCAUGGUCAUCGUCGUGAUUUCCAUGAUGAUGAAUCCAUUUGUGUUAUAACUUUGUGUUCCAUUAGUGUGUACUUAUGUCUCCUCAGCGUCCAAGAAAAGAAAGACUCGUUCUUGGAGGCAACUUACCGAGGGAGUUCCUUCCUUGCGCCCCCUUGGAAGCUGCUACUUGAAUGAGGAGUAAAAAAGCAUUUGGAUACUAUUUCGAACAUAAAUAAUUCGAUGAAUUGAAUUUUGGAGGUGGGCUUGGAUUUUUAUACCUUAAUCUUCCAUUUAAGGAUGUUUGGAAGGAAAAGGGCAAGGGAUGGUUACACUUUACAAGGACAUGGAGGAUUGUGCAGGAUAUAGAGACAUAGAGGUUAUGUGGGAGAUGAUACACUCUUCGUUCCCUCUUGAUUCUCACAACAAAAAACAUAGAAAGAAAGUUCUGUGCUGGAGAUUUUGUUUCCGACCAAUUUGAGCACUGGAUGGCAUGAUCAGUACGAGGAUUAGAUAGUACUGGAUAAUAUGGAUUGAUUUGGCAACUGGGAUACACGUCUUCUUGCCUCUCUUUCAGCUUCUAUUAUAGGCCUCGUCUUAAUUUUAUAGUAAUGACAGUAGCAGAUAAAACUCGACUGCUAUUGUUGAUGUAUUUGUAACACAAAGAAAUAAGGGCACAAACAACACUUGCUCCAUAAGAUCACUUGGAUUAGGCACUGCCAGCGUCAUUUAUUUAUGAAAUAUAGAAUGCGAUUAGUA